rnacentral:rRNA from 1 species
UACGAAGGGUGCAAGCGUUAAUCGGAAUUACUGGGCGUAAAGCGUGCGUAGGCGGUCUUUUAAGUCCGAUGUGAAAGCCCUGGGCUCAACCUGGGAAUGGCACUGGAUACUGGAAGGCUAGAGUACGGUAGAGGAGGGUGGAAUUCCCGGUGUAGCGGUGAAAUGCGUAGAGAUCGGGAGGAACAUCAGUGGCGAAGGCGACUCUUUGGUCUGUAACUGACGCUGAGGCGCGAAAGCGUGGGGAGCAAACAGG